AAUGACGCUCGGACAGGCAUGCCCCCCGGAAUACCAGGGGGCGCAAUGUGCGUUCAAAGACUCGAUGAUUCACUGAAUUCUGCAAUUCACAUUAGUUAUCGCAUUUCGCUGCGUUCUUCAUCGAUGCCGGAACCAAGAGAUCCAUUGUUGAAAGUUUU
rnacentral:rRNA from 1 species